UUUCCGUAGGUGAACCUGCGGAAGGAUCAUUAUUGUAUAACCGAGGUGCGAGGGCUGUCGCUGACCCGAAAGGUCGUGCACGCUCGAGUGCCCUCACACACAUCCAUCUCACCCCUAUGUGCACCACCGCGUGGGUCCCCCUUUGGCUUGUUCGGAGGGGGGCUUACGUUUUCACACAAACUUUGUAUGCAGUGUAGAAUGUAUUUUUUGUUUUUGCGAUCACGCAAUCAAUACAACUUUCAACAACGGAUCUCUUGGCUCUCGCAUCGAUGGAGAACGCAGC
rnacentral:misc_RNA from 1 species